UAGUAAGAAACGAUAAUAUUGUAAUCAGUUUCGACCUGCACCUAGGCGACAUAUGCGCCCUUACUUU
rnacentral:tRNA from 1 species